GCAGGGGGUGGGGUGGGGAGCUCGCCUCCUGCUGCAGCCCAGGCCCGAUGCCGCCAGACCCGGGCUCGUUCUCCCGUCGGCUGGCGCCCCGGAUCCCGGGCUGCCUGUCCUGGGCCGAACGGGGGACGCACCACGCUGGGGUACUGCUGGCAGCCUCAGCUUAGUCCUAUUGGGCUGUGACCGAGUUCCCACGCGGGGUGAUGCCAAUACCAAAUUUAUGGGGGAAGAAGACUUCCAUACCCGUCAGAUGAAUUAUUCAGCAAGAGUCACAGUGAGACCAAGCACACAGGCCCCUGCUUCAGAGCCUGCAACCCAAACUUGUUUCCAUCCCUUUGUCUAAUGACCUUUCAACAUUGAAGUCAGGUCAAUAAAGGGGGUCUUCCUACACAAGGUCUCUAGCACUAUCCCCUGGAUCUCUUCCAUAAAGGAUCCAUGGAUGUCAGGAGGUAUAGAUGGAUCUCAACUGUUUUCAUAGAACGUGCCAUGAGUUCUGAGCAGUGGAAGUUGGCUAGUUCAGUGAGAGACCCAUUUCGUAUUACCAGUUUAUGAGUUAGUGAAUAAUAAGCAUGAUGACAUCAAUCCAUCAGUACCUCACCUGAGCAACUAUAUGAGCUUGAAGAUCAUGUCCUGUCUGUGCUUUGACUUUCUCCACAAUCAGGCAGCAUUUCCUUGUAUUAUUCUAGUGUCAUCACUGAUGUGAGAAGUCUGUGGUAGCACCAGCUGGGAGCCACUGCAUCUGUUAUGAGCUUGCUGGGUUUAUUGGUAUGAAUUUUUCUAUCUGAAGAUUAGCCCAGUACAAGAUAGCCAGAUCUGUUUUCACAACUUAGACAGACACCAGGAUUCUGUUAAUUACACACUCAGGAGAGAAUAUCUUGUUGUCGCCUAUGGAUGUAGGCAGCUGUGAACUGAUAAACAAAACCCAUGGCAGGAAUCUUAGCAGGAAUAUUGCUACCUAAAAAAUAUGACUGUGCUUCAUUAAUGAACUGAGCCCUUUUCUAGAUAAAAAGCUACAGCUUUUGAUGAUGACCAGUGGAGCUAUUCCCUAUAGGUCAAUGCAAUGCCUGGCAUACAUGCCUGAACUUGCCCGACAGCCUUUCUGGACAUAAAGGUCAUUCAUCCUCCAGGCAGAAGCAACCAGUAGCAGUGCUUCAGACGCACACACUGUCAUGAGUGCCCCACUGACAGCAGUGCAACUGUUCUCUUGAAAUGAAAGAGCGUCUCAGAUGGGCUCCUGUGGUCAUGCUGCAAAUGCCAGCGCACAGAGGAAUAAACACCAGAAUCACUUUCAUCCCAAGAGGAAAUCCUUUGAAGAAGGGCUUUUGGGGGAGCCCCUCAAGAAUAGUAUCCUGAGGCCUCCCAGAACAACCCAAAGCACACACAGGCCCACUGGUGCCUGGGUACUGUUUGAUUGAAGGAGGAUUUCAAAUAUGAGUACAAGAAUUUUCUUCUGACUCUAUAAAGAAGAGUAACCAAGCCAUUUUCAAUAUGUAUAUAAAAAGGGGGCCUUAGCCUACUUCUAUUGAAGCCAAUGGCAAAACUCCUAUUGCCUUCAAUGUGAGCAAGACCCAUUCCUGUGUUAAGUGCAGUAAUUUAAAACAUGUAUGUAAUCAGACCAGCAGUUGUGACAAUUAGUCAUAUCUACAUGGAGCCUUGUAGUUUAAGAUUUUUAAGUGAUUUUUUACUACUAUUUCUUUACCAGCCUGUAUCUCAUUUGAUGGUACAUAUCUGAACUCGAACCUAUUUAGACACAGUGAAUUGGACACAUAAUUAAGCAUUCUCUCUAAAUGUGUGAACUUCAUAAGACUGGAUCAAAGUUCUAGCAGUUCCAAGGGCUAAAGUGUUUGCUGCCACACUCAUAACAAAUCACCCAUACAAAAGAGGCAGAAAUGUUAGAUGGUCCAGCUAAAAGGGCAUCAAUGAUUGAAACAAAUGCAGCCACACAGCUGGCUUGUGGAGCUGUGACAAGGCUGGUCACUGUAUUCCUAGCACACCCUCCUGCAUCACACAAAGCAUGUUUAGAUGAUGAUGAUAUCUUUGUUGCAUCCCUAGCAGAAAUGAACAGAGAUAGUGACAGACUGCAGGAUAUGAAGGAGAACGGGAGUUCAAUGUAACUAAAGAUGCAGAUGAAAGUGAGCAGCCUGUUAAACAACCUAAUUUAAAGCCUCUGGGUUACCGUUUUGGCUAUCCUUUGAAAACAAAUUCAAUCUACUUAAUUUAAAAAUGAUAGUAAAUUUCUAAUGCAAACUCUUUCUUUCCAUUUUAAAAACAGCUGAGUAUAUUAGUUCCUAUAAAAAGUGUUAAAGUUUAUGAUUAUAUAGAGAAAAAAAUCACAGGGCUCAUCUGGCAAUUUCUAUUUGUCCAAGCCAGAGUAAAUGUUUAUACAAUAUCUGCCAACAUAACAGAAUAUGCCUGUCACUCACUACAUUAAACAUGAUUGUAUACAGCUUAAUUUACUGAAUUAGAUACGUACACAUUUGAGGUGGAUAGAUUUUUAUAGCAUGAAUAAAGCCGAAUAAAAGCCUUUUGCCUCAUAGUGAGCUUCCAGACUUCUCAAGAAUAUAAAGAAGGAAUCUUGGAAAAAUCCUCAAUAAAAGGAUUUUCAUGAGAGUGAUACACAAGUAUUAAAAAGCCUCUGAAGAAUUAGGAAGAAAUUCCACCAAGACAACAACACUUAGAAGAAGGAAGAAUUAAUGCCAUUACUAAAAGACUUUUAUGCUUCUUUGGAACACUAAUAACUUAAUGCAGAGCUAAAGUUAUUCUAGUACAGACAUGUUUCCCCCCUGAAAAUAACUAAGCAAAAUGUCAUGGAUUUUAGGUAAGUCAAAGAUGAUUAAUUUUUCAGUGACAGUUCUUUGCUGCAAAUUCUCUAUAUUGUUCGCUGGGCUUGUGUGGGGCGUACAUAUAAACUAGAAUACAGAUUGCAUAGUAAGUACUACAUCUGUAGACAUUACGAACAGUCACAUUACUGCUGACACAUGCCUGAGUAAGUACAUCCGUCUGCAUAUAUGUGGGUGUGUAUGUAGCUAUUUUAUACACUUGGGGGUUUCUCAUAGACCUAAACUAGCAGAAUUUGACCAACACUAUUAAACAAUUUGGAGACCAGAGAAUCUCUAUGUCCUCUACCUUACUGGAGUGCUAUAUUCAUGUUACACACUUGGAACUACAGUGUUUUGAAUUAAUGAAAUUCAGAAGCUUAAAGCAUUUAAUUGCAUUUUCCAGCCAUACAAUAUGUUUAUAUAGAAGAGACAUAAAAUACAAAACACGACAGGGCAUUUGAAAAAGAUCCCUUUUAAAACACAGGAAUAAUCUCCACCUAGAAAUAGCUGUGCACCCUUUCAU